UAAGGAAUAUUAGAAAUGGACGAAAGUCUGAUCUAGCAACACCGCGUGUGCGAAGAAGGCCUUCGGGUUGUAAAGCACUUUUUGGAAGGAUUAGGAAGGAAUGUACUUCCAGAAUAAGUCUCGGCUAACUACGUGCCAGCAGCCGCGGUAACACGUAGGAGGCAAACGUUAUCCGGAUUUACUGGGCGUAAAGCGCGUGUAGGUGGUUUUGUAAGUAGGGCGUGAAAGCUCCUGGCUCAACUGGGAGAGGCCGUUCUAAACUGCAGAGCUAGAGGAUGGUAGAGGGAGGUGGAAUUCCGGGUGUAGCGGUGGAAUGCGCAGAUAUCCGGAGGAACACCAGUGGCGAAAGCGGCCUCCUGGACCACUCCUGACACUCAGACGCGAAAGCUAGGGUAGCAAACG
rnacentral:rRNA from 1 species